UACGAAGGGGGCUAGCGUUGUUCGGAAUUACUGGGCGUAAAGGGCGCGUAGGCGGCGUGUCAAGUCAGGCGUGAAAGCCCCGGGCUCAACCUGGGAACCGCGCUUGAGACUGGCAUGCUCGAGUUCGGGAGAGGAUGGUGGAAUUCCCAGUGUAGAGGUGAAAUUCGUAGAUAUCUGGAGGAACACCAGUGGCGAAGGCGGCUCACUGGUCCGGUACUGACGCUGAGGAGCGAAAGCGUGGGGAGCGAACAGG
rnacentral:rRNA from 1 species